rnacentral:rRNA from 1 species
CAAGCGUUGUUCGGAUUCAUUGGGCGUAAAGGGUGCGUAGGUGGCGCCGUAAGUCGGGUGUGAAAUUUCGGAGCUUAACUCCGAAACUGCAUUCGAUACUGCGGUGCUUGAGGACUGGAGAGGAGACUGGAAUUCAUGGUGUAGCAGUGAAAUGCGUAGAGAUCAUGAGGAAGACCAGUGGCGAAGGCGGGUCUCUGGACAGUUCCUGACACUGAGGCACGAAGGCCAGGGGAGCAAACGGG